AAUCAAAGUUGGUCUGCUAUUUCAACCCACGUUCCAAAUAUUAAAACCAAAACGAAACUUCAAAACAGGAAGGAAAAAAAAUAUCCAAGGAAACCAGAAUUCAGAAACGAAAACAACUUUUUUUGUUUCUUUAAGGAAUCGUUUUGGAAUCAAUCAACUAAAUGGAGACGGUAUUGGAAGAUGAAGAGUACAAUUACAGAGAAGUAAUUUUACCUAAAUUGAUCCCAAUAGUUCCAGAGCCGGGAUUAGAGAGGGAAACAGGGGAGAGAAGGAGAGGCAGGGAUAUAGUUAUAGCCGUUGAUCAUGGUCCCAACAGCAAACACGCCUUUGAUUGGGCAGUUAUUCACCUCGUCAGGCUUGCUGAUACCAUCCAUCUUGUCCAUGCUGUUUCCAGCGUCAGAAACGAGAUUGUUUAUGAAAUCAGUCAAGGGCUUAUGGAGAAGUUAGCUGUGGAGGCUUUUGAAGUUGCCAUGGUGAGGACUACAGCUCGAAUCAUUGAGGGGGAUGCAGGUAAAGUAAUUUGCAAGGAAGCAGAAAGGUUGAAGCCAGCAGCAGUGGUUAUGGGAACUCGUGGUAGAAGCUUAAUACAAAGUGUUCUUCAAGGAAGUGUGAGCGAGUAUUGCUUCCACAACUGCAAAUCUGCUCCUGUCAUAAUUGUACCUGGGAAAGAUUACCUGUUUUUCAUUUACAACAAAUUCAUUUCUGCAAUGGAAAUCUUAAUUAUGGUUGCUUGUAAUUAUUAUCGUACUGAAAUCUUCGGCCGUCUAAUGGGUCUAAUAGAUCCACUCCACAAGUGAAAUGCCCUUGAACGGAUGACUUUCCUGUGCCUCUGCCAACCCAUUUGUUCCCAGCUGCAAACGGGCCCAGGAAGCAGUGGAAUGGUGCUGGCUGUUUCUCAGGAUUCUUGUUCAAGGUAAAGACAAGCACUGGACUUUCACUUGCUCCAAACAAAUCCAACAGAAUCUUUGUGGGAUUUGUCCCUUUUUAUUCCUUGGAAUUGCUGCAUGAGAAAGGUUAGAAAGGAGGGAAAAAAUACACACAAAAGAAAUGGGCCCAAGAAAGGGAAAAGGCAAUCUCAUCUUUCACAAUCAACACAAAACAAAGAGAAUCAAAGAGAUCUUGCCUAUGGAUGAGGCCAGGUCCACCCCUUUCACUUUUACUUAUGGCUUGCAAAUGAAGGUAAGCUGAGGCUUGUGACUCCAAGAAUAAGUAGAUGCAAUGAAGGUGCAGGCAUCCUUCAAUGGUCCUUGCCAGAGCCGCAACCUACACUGAAAAGCUUCCUUCUUAUUCAUUACAACACCAGUAGUUUUUUGAGUGUCUUUUAAAACUAUCCUUCGAUAGAACAUCCCCCAGUCCUUCAGCUUUUGCUUGUAGGAAUUCAGGUCCAUUAUUGACAAUUAUGAUAAAGAUGGUUGCUCAAGUGGUGUA